rnacentral:tRNA from 1 species
GGUUCCAUGGUGUAGUGGUUAGCACUUUAGAUUAGACUUUGAAUCCAAUGACUUGGGUUCAACUCCUGGUGGAACCU